CGGAAGUCGCCGUCUGCGUCUGCCCCGGGUGCCCGGCGAGGUGCGCCCUGUUCCUUGCUGCUCUUGCAGCUGCCGGUUCUUCUCCCACCAGAUGCUUCCGCCUAGCGACCGCGCUUCGGGGAAAAGUCAAGCCUUGCCAGAAAAGCCCACGCUCCCCUAGCGUCCCCUCCUCUCGCCCCGAAGGUCACAGCUGUCCUGGUUUCCAGCCCUGUGGACUGGCUUAAGUGGCUAUCACGUAAAUAAGUCGGAGCGUGUCGUCUUUUGCUCGCGGUCGUCUGCGAGGUUCCUCCCUGUUCUUCCUGUCUUUGCAGUUCAUUUUCAUUGUUUCAGAAUAGUCGGUUGCGUGACUAUGCCCCGGACGACCUGCCGAUGACGGACUCGGGCGUCGUUUCCCGUUUUGGGCUGCCAGGUGCUACGAUUAACGUUCUCGUGCGUGUGCCCGUGCACACAUUUCUGUUGGGCGCGCACCCAGGAGUGUAAUUGUUGGGUCAAGGAUGGGUGUGCUCGGACCUGGUGAAUAACACCAAGCCGUUGCCUGAAUUUCUUUUCCAAUUUAUGGUUCCACAGCACCAGCGUGGGGGAGUUUUCAGUCGAUGUUCCAUAAUCUUGUCGACACUUAAAAAUUUAAGUCCUUAUCACUGGUUUUCAUUUUCCUGAUUAGUAAAGAGAUUGACAGCACUUUCUCAUGUGCGUAUCAGCCAUUUAGAUGUCCAUUUUUGUGAAGUGCAUGUUCAAGUCUCUGUUUCUCGUGGGUCGUCUCUUACUGAUUUGUAGGGGUUCGUCUCGUGGAGACAGCGCAUGCCAGGAGCAAACACCAGGACAGAGUGACGCGCGCGUGCAAGUGCUCUCGGGGGAGCCUGGGGAGCAACAGACCUGCAGCGAGAGCCCCGAGCGUGAUGAGGUGUGAACCCCGUGGAGAACAGGGGAGGAAUCUGACUGCAGUGUCCCUCACAUCUUUACCGAGGUAUCAUCUGCAUCCACUUUAAGUGUAAAUCUGGAGUUGUGCAGUCUCUACAAUUCAGUUUUAAAACGUCUGCGUCACCCUCCAGAGAUUGCUCGUGAUUACAGUGAAGCCCCGUGACUGCCCCCUGACGCCUUUCGCCUGUGUAGACUGGCCAUUUCUGGACGGUCCCCGUAAUCAUACGUGUGGCCCUUCGUGUCCAGAGUCUCGGCUUGGGGUUUCGAGGUUCCCCUCGCGGCAGCACGUGCUAGUAUCUGCUUCCUCUUUGGUUCUCCAUUAAUGAGUUGAUGGGUGUUUGGAAUAUUUCCCACUUUUCAGCUGUUAGGAAUCAUGCUGCUCUGAACAGUCUCAUGGUGAGAAGCACGGGCCUUUGCGUGGCCACGUGUUCAUCUCUAGCUAGGGUGGAUACCUCUGGGUGGCCUCGCUGGGUCCUGUGAAAACUGUGUUUCACGUUGAGAACUGCCAGACUGUUUUCCAGUGUGGAAACAUUUUGGAACUUUCAUCUCUCCAUUUUUCUGUGCACUAGCAAUUUCUGGAGGUUCCUACUUCACAUCCUCCCCCACAGUUGUUACCGACUUUUUUGACUUAUAGCCCGUUCUAGUGGGCGUCUUCCUGUGGUUUUGAUUUGCAUUUUCCCGGUCACUAGUGAUGCUGAGCAGCUUUUCAUCAUCUCGUCGGCCAUUUAUGUCUUCUUCAGAGAAAUGUCUAUUUAAAUUGUUUAUGUAAUGAUGAGUGGUAAGUUCUUUAUAUGUCUGGAUACAAGUCCUUUAUCAGACAUACGAUUUACAGUUUUCUCCCAGUCUCUGGCUUUUCAUUUGCAUUUUCUUAAUGGUAUCUUUUGAAGAGUAAAAGUCCAGCCCAUCAGAUUUUUCUUGUAGGGAUCCUAUCUUUGGUGUCAGAAUAAGACAUCUUUGCCUAAUUCAAGGUUAUGAAGAUUUUCUCUUACAUUUACUUUUAUUUUUUUAUUUUUAUUUUUUAAUCAAUAAUUUUUUAUUUUAUUUUUUGUGACAUCAGUUAAUGAAAUCCAGUAAGUUUCAGGUGUACAAUUUAACAGUAAGGCAUACAUAUAUUGCAUUAUGUUCUCACGUUUGCUUUUAAAUAUUUUGUAGUUUACAUCUUACAUUUAGGUCUUAUGAUCCAUUUUGAGUGAUAGUAGGUAAGGGUCAAAAUUCAUCUUUUUGCAGGUACAUAUCCGAUUUUCCCAGUAUCGUUUGUUGAAGAUUAUUUUUUCUCCAUUAAGAAUUUUUGUAGAAAGUCAACUGACCAUAAGUCUAAGGAUUUAUUUCUGGACUCGCUUCCGUUCCAUGGACUUCACGUCAAUCCCGUGCUGGCACUACACUGUCUUAAUUACUGUGGUUUUAUACUGUGUUUUGAAAAAUGGAAGAUAACUCCUCCCAAUUUACUUAUUUAAAAAAUCAUUUUGGCUAUUCUAGGUUUUAUUUCCAUACAAUCUGCAAGGUCGGUUAUCAACAUCUAUAAAAACGCCUGCUGCGAGUUUGGUAUUGAUUGAGUUUAUGGAUCAGCUUGGGGAGGACUGACGUCUGAACACCCUUAGGUCUCCCGUGCACGAGCGUGGUCUGUCUUCAUUCCCCUCAGUGCACAGACACAUCGGUUGAUGGAAAUCCGUCCGUAACGCAGACUGUGCACGCCGCUCAAGGCUGGUGUAGACGGUGAAAGAAAGC